AUCUUUGUACCUAAUGCUUUAACGCGUAGACUUUUCUCCAGAAAAAAACGUGGCGGUGCCAUUGCAGCACAAAUCUUGAAAUUGUCCAUUCCUCAAACCCCAAAAAAAGUGACAAAGGAACAAGAGUUGUUUGAGCUGAAUCAAGAAUGGAUCUGCCAGCAGAAGAGCUUCAAUUCUUGACUAUACCUGAUAUUUUUCAAGAAUCAAUCUCCAUACCUAAGAGAUCUCCAAAAACAUUCUACCUAAUUACCCUUACUUUAGUAUUUCCUUUAUCUUUUGCAAUCUUGGCUCAUUCUUUGUUCACUCAUCCAAUCAUUACUCAGCUUCAACAAAACCCAAAUUCAUCUCAUGCUUCUCAAUGGACAAAGCUCAUUGUUUUUCAGUUUUUUUACCUGCUUUUCUUGUUUGCUUUCUCUUUGCUUUCAACUGCUGCUGUUGUUUUCACUGUAGCAUCAAUUUACACUGCAAAGCCUGUCUCUUUUUCAUCUACCUUAGCUGCAAUUCCCAGUGUUUUCAAGAGGCUUUUCAUUACCUUCAUAUGGGUUUCUCUUUCUAUGUUGGCUUAUAACACUGUUUUCUUGAUUUUUCUUGUGCUUCUCAUUGUAGCAGCAGAUACCCAGAAUGUGGUUUUGUUCCUUUUCUCCUUUUUGGUUGUCUUUAUACUCUUUCUUGUAGUUCAUGUUUACUUCAGUGCAUUGUGGCAUUUGGCCAGCGUGGUGUCUGUUCUUGAGCCUAUUUAUGGUAUAGGAGCUAUGAAGAAGAGCUAUCACUUGUUGAAAGGGAAGACAGGAAUGGCAUUUUUCUUUGUUUUUGGAUAUUUGUCUAUUUGUGGGGUAAUUAAUGGGUUUUUUGGGUCUGUUGUGGUGCAUGGAGGUGAAAGUUAUGGUGUGAUUUCAAGGAUUUUGAUUGGUGGGUUCUUGGUUGGAGUAUUGGUGAUUGUGAAUCUUGUGGGGCUUUUGAUGCAAAGUGUGUUUUUACUAUGUUUGCAAGAGCUACCAUCAUCAAGGGAUAGAUAAGACUGCUCUCUAUGAUCAUCUUGGUGGAUACCUUGGGGAGUAUGUGCCUCUGAAAAGCAGCGUGCAGAUGGAGAACUUAGAAGGCGGUCCCUUGACGCCAUGAUGGUGAGAAAGGCUGAAUCCUUGUGCUUUCAUUCGAAUUUGUUGCAUGAUAUAUUGGCAAGAGGAAUCGUAAAGACAUUAACUUUGAAGUAGGUUGUUGUGUUUUGGCACUUGAAUUUGUUUGUAUACAUAAUAAGUAACUUUGCUCUUUGUGCUUUCUUGAUAAAUUCCAUUAAUAUGCACCAAUAGUGUUUAUAACAAAGCUCUGUGUUCUUUGUACAUGUUAAAAUAUAUCUAUUGAUAAUUGUUAUGCUAUGUGAUUGUUCGCCACCAGAGGUGGACAAAUAUCAUAUACUGCGUAUGACUGCUCCGCUGUUGUUUAUAGAAAGAAAGUUAUACCAUUGUUCAUUGUAUCAAUUGAGAUAAAUUCGUCCAACUUUGUCUCU